ACGAUAGCAAAUUAUCUCAUGCCUCAUGAUUUAUGGAAACCUGACGAAUUCUAUUAACAAAGCUUCCUCCUGUCUUAACUAAAUGAACUAGAAAACUAUUAAAAUAAGAAAAAAGAGAAAAAGAAAAGCAAAAAGAAAAUCAAGAGAUUUUGUUAACCCUAUUUUAAUGCACAGGAAUUGUUUGGAAGCCAAUUUUGUGCCUCUAGGUUCGAGUCUUUGCACACAAACAAUU
rnacentral:lncRNA from 1 species